rnacentral:rRNA from 1 species
UACAGAGGUCCCAAGCGUUGUUCGGAUUCACUGGGCGUAAAGGGUGCGUAGGCGGUCGGGUAAGUCUGGCGUGAAAUCUCCAAGCCUAACUUGGAAACUGCGUUGGAUACUAUCCGGCUCGAGGAAUGGAGGGGAGACUGGAAUACUUGGUGUAGCAGUGAAAUGCGUAGAUAUCAAGUGGAACACCAGUGGCGAAAGCGGCUCACUGGACCACAACUGACGCUGAUGCACGAAAGCUAGGGGAGCAAACAGG